GGCUCGGCCCUGGUGGGCUUCUGUAGUCAGCAGUGGUCCAGGAGGAAGAGUGAGUGGGUGGGUGAUUUGUCUGCAGAUUUGGAAACUGAGACUGUUCUUGGCUCUGGCUGGGGAGCUAAGGCCAGAGAAGCCCUGGCAUAAGCCCUCGGGACAAGAAAAUGAAAAUGCUUGUAGAUAGAAGCUGGUCCAAGAAGGGAAUUUCUUAGGUUCCAAUUCUAAAGGGACUGGGGAGACUGAUCACAGAGGACCGAACUGGAGGGUCAGGAUGCCACCUCUGGCUUUUGCAGGCUCUCACCUGAACCUUGCAAGAGCUCAGUGCAGACACAGCCUUUUUCCAUGGUGAUACCUAAAACCAAACCAAUUUGAAAAACUGUUAGGAUGAAUUCAGUAGUUUGUUUAUACCAGUAUUAGAGGCUUUGGAUGGUAUACAGCUGUUUAAAAUCUGUGUUUUAAAUAGCACAAUAUUUUUUAACAAUUGAAGUAUAACAAUGAUGAUACAUACAUUUGUAGAGUCUUACAGCUUUUCAUGACAAAUUUUCAUGGUCAGUCUCAUCUAAAAUAUUUAUUAUUUAAGCCUCAAUUCCCCACCUGAUUUGAGGUGACAUAAUCUCAAAAAUGCACACAUUCCUCAAAUACAUAUAAAGGAUAACACUGUAUUCUGGGAAGUCAUAAGAGGAUGCUAAUAGUUAAUGGUUUUCAUACAAUGUCUUUCAACCAUCACUCCUGUCUUAGACAAGGCCAGGGUCACUGUGUGUCCAUAUUUGCAGCUGUAGAAAUGAAGGAAGAGCCUUCCAGCGCCUGCCCCAGUGGCAUGGUCUGUCUGGACGCUCAGUUGCAACUCUCAGCUGAAGCACAGGCUUGCAGAGUAGGAAGAUGCCUUAGUGUGACUUGGUUCUGCUCUCCACUUGAUGCAUCGGAACCCCACUCCUUACACACCAUUGUCAGCUCAUAUCUCUACUCAACGUUUAUUCUUCCAGUGUUGGAGGAGUUCACUGCUUCAUGAGGCAGCUCCCGAACUGGCUUUAAAUGAUGACUCAUUGAGAGAACAUUGAUUUCUUUCCUCCCUUCUGAAGCCUCGGGGAUGAUGGCUAAACAAGAAUUAAGGGAGAAAUAAGGCGAAGAAGUGGAAGCUUUUGAAGUCAAGUGACUUUCCCUGGGUGGAAACCUAGUUCAUAGUCUGGUCAGGAGUCAAAACUAGUUAUAGUUGCACCUAAAUCCUACGUUCUUUCACCGUACUCGGCAGCCCCUGGCUUUAGCAUCCAAGUGCUGUUAAAUACUAUAGCAUUGGGCUGGGUGCCGGCCACAUGCCUGCCUCUGUGCUAGUCUCUGGGGUCCCCAGUGAUGAAUGAGGUGCACUGUUUAUAUCCUCUAAGGAAGGAUCUAAGUGUCAGUGGCUGUAAUUCUGGGCAGGGGGAAAUUAAUGGAUACCUUAAGAAGUAGCAACAAAGUACUUUGGGGAUUGAUAGAAAGAAGAGAUCCAUUGAGAAUUUUUGUUUGUUUCUGUAAGAGGAAGGAAUUAAAAAAGUUAGUGAAUAGCAGACUUUCAAAAAUCUUUGUCCAUCUAUCACAGGCAUAGAUAUGGGUGGUAUCCCCAUAGGCAUAGAGUACUAAGAAGAUCGACCCAGCCCUGAAAUUUGGGAAGGCAGGCUUCUAUAUUUGGCAAGCCUCUUCGUUUAAUAGGGAGGUGAAGCGGUUGGUAUGGAGAACCCUUUCCUUAUCUUUUCAAACAGAGACUCUUGACAACAAGAAGUUUCUGGGGUGACUCAUCCUACCUUAUGUGGCCUAUUUGAGUAACUUAAUUUAUGCUGUCUAGGAUUAUACCCCUACUUUAGGUGGCCAUUGGAAUCACUAGUUGGCUUUAGGUUUUCCAAGAGGAGAGUUUUUCAAGGCACUUCCCUGCAUUGUUUUGUUUUUGUUUUUUCCCAGCAUUAACCGUAAAAAAACUACCCAUAACUCUCACCAUUAUUUCUUGAAAUAAAGAUGGAUGUUGUUAAGAUUAUGUGGCAAUAAUCUUAUGACUCUCUGUACACAUUUAAUGUUGUUCAUUUAUUCAUUCAUCCAUCCAUCCGUCAAUCCAUCCAUCCAUCCAUCCAUCCAUUCCUCAACAGUUACUGAACACAUACUAUGGAGCUUAAUGAGAUAUUAUGAGGAUACACAAAGAGUCAUGGGGCUUCUUCCUUAAAGGUACUUACAGUAUAUGCAAUAGAGAUCAGCUGUACCCAACUGUAAAUCAAGACAGGGUGUGACAAAUGUCUUCACAGAGGUACAAUGGCAGUGCUGUGGGAAUUCACAGGAGAAAAUGAAUAUUACUUCUGGCUGUGGAAAUCAGAAAAGGGUUCAUGGAAGAGGUGGUCUCUGAGUGGAACCCUAAAGAUAGCUAGGAUUUGGAAUCCCUGAGGUAGGUGGGAAGGCACCACAUAUGUGCACGGAAAGUUCUGGAGAGAACACUGGUGAUGUGGGUUUGGACCCUGGCUUUGACAAUGACUUAGUGGGCUGUUCUUGGAUAAGAUACCUAUAGCUUGUCCUAAGGUACCCCCUCCAGCUUCCUCAUUAGUAAAAGAGGGACAGUCCCUACUUUCUGGGGUAGAGGAGGAUUAGAGGAAAUAGCAUAGUGCCUGACACAGAGUAAGUGGCCAAUGAGCAAACGUUAGAGCUCAUUGUGAAUCUGUUGUUUCCUUUCCUUGGGCUUAUCUUCCACAGUGGGCCCUUUCAUUGCUUGAAAUCCUCAUCCACUUUGGUCCUUCUUGGCUGGGGCCCUCUGAGACAUGCAGAGGAGAUGUGAGCCACUGGAGGAGAGGUCAGUCUUCCUGAGCAAGGCUUUCCUUCCAGGGUUCCUUGGGAUCCCUUGGGCUCUGAAGGCUGAAAGCAGUUGAGUUUCAGGGGAGAGGAAUGCCGGGACCUCUCAAGGUGGGGGUCACUUGAGGAAAGCCACCUCAAGGUGCGAGAGUCCAGGGAAAGUGGCUUCUGAUCACAAUCACCCAGUUCUAGAAAAACCAUCCCAUGCCAUCAGGAUGAUCCAUCUUGUGAGACAGAGGGUGAGUUCUCACCCCAUGCUUUCCUGGAAAGCACUGGAAAAAAAAAAAAAAGGAAAAGAAUACUUCCCCAGAUCAGGUUACUCAACAGCUUUACAAGCCAAUAGGCCUGAACCCUUCUCCACAUGUCAUAGCCCAGGGAAGUUUCAAAGGGCUCUUCUCAAAUUCCUCGUUCUUCCAUUUUCCCUCUUUGUACUGGAUUAGCACUGGAAAAGCCUGAAAGGUGAGUGACUAAGGGAGGAAGAGAAACUAGAACUUUGGUUACUAGCAGGUGCCGUCCUGGUGGCAGAAGAUGGUCAGGCCGGAGGCUUUGUAUAUUUGAGGAAUCCUUUGGGCCUGUAGCCAGAGGUGAUGUAUAAAGCCAGGUGCAGGGCAGAGGCACAAAGCAGGGCGGAGAUGUAUUGUUUUAGGCUCUUGGGUUUCCAACACUAACUUUCAGGCAGAGGUGAGUCCAGACAGUGUGAUCCUGUCAGGAACCUUCCAGAACCGCAAGGCAGUUUGGCUCUGCUUUUGCAGCUAGAAUCUUUAGUCCACUUUUUCUCUAGACUUCUUCUGAUACCUCUUGAUCCAAGAGAAAAUUUGAGUUUGCAUUUUCCCUAAGCUGUUGAAAUAUGGUAUAUUCCUAUGGGAACUCCUGGGGACUCAAGUGAAUCCCUAGUGCCUGCUUUAGGGUGGUAGGCGAUGGGCUGAGGGCUGAGAAAGUGCUUUUUUGAGGUUUCUGAAUGCAGGAAGGGAGAGAAGGGAAAAACUCUGAAGCAGUAAGCGGCAGUCAACCCCCCACCCCUGUUGUGCUGCUCAGGCUUUGGUGGUUUACGUUUGGUCCUGUCAAUUUAUCUGUUGAGGUCUUCCUUUACUCUUCAGGAAGACAAAUUAUGCAUCUUCCGCUCUGAGCCCAUCCACGAUGCAUGCCCUCAUGGCAAACACCGUGGAAUAACAGAUUUUAAAUCCCUAAGCAGAAAACAGUUACUAUUGUUUAGAAGAAUGGUACCUAAAGAGGUGGGUAAACUGACAGAAAGACAGAGCAACCCCUGGCUGAUUGUCUUCCCAUUUGUCCGUGUUUAACUCUCCUGAUCCAAAUUCUUAGAUGAGCAAACGUUAAACCAGGAGCAUUUUUUUUUUUUUAAAUAAACCUGUCACUGUUUUAAAACAGAAAUGUUCUGGUUCCUCCAAAAUAGUGCUCUUAAGCUAACAUUUACCUAUAAUAGUUUCAUCUGAAAAAGUGAUGAUAACGACUGACAUUGAUUGCAUUUCUACUUUGUGCCCAAGCUUAAUAUAUAUAAUGGUCACACAGCCCUAAGGCAUGGGUACUGUCAUCAGUCUCGUUUCACAGAUGAAGAAGGUGGGGCCAGAGACCUUACGUAAUCAGUCCAGAGCCCAAUAGUUAAUAAGAACUGACCCCUGGAUUUGAAUCCUGGCUUGCUUGUGCUCACAGCCACAAUGCUGUAUUUAUCAUUCAUUCAUUUGAUAAGUGUUUACGGAGCACCCGCAUUCUAUCAGGCAUUGGCUCGGGUGCUGGAGAUACGGUAGUAAAUAUUACAGAUGCAGAUGUCUGUCCUAACAGUCAGGGGGAGGGGGCGAGAGGGACAGACAAUAAUAAAAUAAGUAAGUUAAAUGAUUCAUGUUCUUUUGGCACUCAGCACGAUGAAGAAAAAUAAAACAGGGAAGGGAGGAAAGAGUAUUGAUAGGGGAGGGUGAUGGAAUUUAAAUAGAUGGUCAGAGAACACAUUCUUCAGAAAGAGGUAAGGGAAUAAGCUUUUGGGUGUUAGAACAGAUUCUAGGUGAAAGGAACAGCAAGAAAAGUGAUUUAAAAAAAAAAAAA